GCCGGGCGUUGUGGCGGGCGCCUGUGGUCCCAGCUACUUGGGAGGCGGAGGCAGGAGACUCGCUUGAGCCCAGGAGUUGGAGGUUGCUGUGAGCUGUAAUGCCAUGGCACUCUACCCAGGGGGACAGCUUGAGGCUCUGUCUCAAAAAAAAAAAAAUAAAUAAAUAAAUAAAUAAAUAGAAUGUUACAGAUAAAUUGAAAAAAGUUCUCUUGGCCCCUGUGGCUAAUAAGAGUCCUUCAGCCACUAUCAUAGAUUUUUUUUUUUUUUUUUUGAGACAGAGCCUCAAGCUGUCCCCCUGGGCAGAGUGCCGUGGCAUUACAGCUCACAGCAACCUCCAACUCCUGGGCUCAAGCGAGUCUCCUGCCUCCGC
rfam:Otolemur garnettii contig054068, whole genome shotgun sequence.